AGUGAACGCUGGCGGUAGGCCUAACACAUGCAAGUCGAACGGCAGCACAGUAAGAGCUUGCUCUUACGGGUGGCGAGUGGCGGACGGGUGAGGAAUACAUCGGAAUCUACUUUUUCGUGGGGGAUAACGUAGGGAAACUUACGCUAAUACCGCAUACGACCUACGGGUGAAAGCAGGGGAUCUUCGGACCUUGCGCGAUUGAAUGAGCCGAUGUCGGAUUAGCUAGUUGGCGGGGUAAAGGCCCACCAAGGCGACGAUCCGUAGCUGGUCUGAGAGGCUGAUCGGCCACACUGGAACUGAGACACGGUCCAGACUCCUACGGGAGGCAGCAGUGUGGAAUGUUGGACAAUGGGCGCAAGCCUGACCCAGCCAGACCGCGUGUGUGAAGAAGGCCUUCGGUUUGUAAAGCCCUUUUGUUGGGAAAGAAAAGCAGCAGGUUAAUACCCCGCUGUUCUGACGGUACCCAAAGAAGAAGCACCGGCUAACUUCGUG
rnacentral:rRNA from 1 species